GACUUAUUUUCUGCUCACUAAGGUCACUUUAUCCUGUUACUGGCUUUUUUUUUUUCAUGCAUUUUGCACAUUACUGGGACUGAACAAUUGAAGCGAAGGAAUAUAUGGUUAGAAAUUUUUAUUUGUAGUGAGGAAUUGGAAAAAAAAAUCUUGUAUUAUUAAACAUUUAAAGCCAAAGGAAUAUGGGGUUAGAAAAUCUUGGAUUACUUCUAAUUCUUAUAUGUACUGUAAUACAUGGAUUAAUUUUGAUUUGGAGGAUUACAAGUGAUCCAGAGAUGAGUGGGCCUAAUUUUAAAGUAAUUACUAUGCGGUGCAAUCAUUGUCAAUUACCCCAAAAAAUUAGUUACAUAUAUAAUCUGAAAUUAAUGGGGGGUUUGUUGAACUAAGAGCUAUUUAAAAAGCAUAGAAGAUGUGGUCGUUUUAUGGAGCUAUAAUUGCUGAGUUUAUAGCUACCCUCUUGUUUUUAUACAUCACCGUUUUUGACUGUGAUUGGUUAUAAGAGCCAAACUGACCCUGCCAAGAACGCUGAUGCCUGUGGUGGUGUUGGGAUUCUUGGCAUUGCUUGGGCCUUC
rnacentral:misc_RNA from 1 species